rnacentral:lncRNA from 1 species
AUGAUGCAAAUCCAAAAAAGAGGCCCUUACACAAUCGUGGCCGAAACUUGGAGUGGUAGUGUGGCAACGGUGCUGUCCACAAUGAUCUCAGAUGCUGGUCAUGAGGUGUCUUUGUUCUUCAUCCAAGGAGUUCCUCAAAAAAUGACUUCUUUACUACCCUCACAAGAUCUUCUGGGUGGAUGUCUGGUUCAACGUUUAUUCCAGGAAAUCAAGGCUGAUAAGGAGCUAAAAAGUCUAGACAGCGCUUUGGAAAUGCUGCCAAAUAGCUGCAACAAAUUGUACGUCCAGAGAGCGUUUCUCGCCCUUGUUCAAACCAUGGUUCUUCUAAGGAGUUUCAAUUGUGAAACUUUACAUAGAGAUACUUUAACUCUGAUGGAAAUAGGAUGCACGUGUGAGCUGAAAAUGAGUGAACUCAAGAAAAUGGCUGAAAAAACUGUUCGGCUCGUCAAGUCUGACUCUAAGACAUACAAGGAUAUGCUGAAAGAUCCUCUAAUAUCAAAGACAAUAAACGACGAGGCGCUAUUUUCUUGGCACACUUACUAGAUCAUCAAUGAUGAAAGUAGAUGAAAGUAGUAGAUGAAAGAAGUGUAGAUGAAGUCAGCUGCAGCGUGCGGCUAUUGGAUUUUGAUUCAUGAAUGGAAUUAGAUAACGACGGUGAAACUACCAGACCUCGUAUCUCGGUUUGCGAUGUUGCAGGCUUUCGGUUUCACUUUACUUUUUUAAUGGAACGUCAAUUCAAUGUCAAUUUUUUAAAACUUCCGUGAUUUUUCUCUCUAUGCGAAAAAAACUCUGAGGAAACUUCAAGGAAUGAUAUUGAUUUGUGCUCUUUCAAAAUAAUGCAAUAUGGGAGCGAAGUUUUUUAAACACACCGCCAACGGCAUACAUGAUUUGGUAGUUUCUGUGUCGAUGAGCUAAUUUAUCAUUUUAGCCGCCAACCGAGUAAUGGACCUCAGUCCUUAAUAACUAAAAAACACCCUACAAAAUGGGCAACUAACGCUAGCGUUUCCGGGUUUCAAUCGCCUCCUCAACCAGGAAAUAAAAAAUGUAUAAAAUUGUAAGAAUCAGUAAACUUUUUAGACUCCUAUUCGUAUUUCCAUUUUUGUUUGUUAGCUUUUAGCCUAGUUGCCCCUUUUUUGUGUCUUUUUAGUUGAAUUAUUAGGGCUAUUUUUGUGUAUUAUUUUUGUCCUUACUAACAUAAAAUCUAACUAAGUACUUAAAUUGAUUUUCAAUACUAUUCCAGAGACUCAUUUCUUCUCCUCUGAUUUCCUCUCAUUUAUUUCUUGAAAAUGGCUCAGCUGCACUGGUCACAAGAUCGGUUUCAAUGCUUGAUUCUUGUAGAUUAGCCAAAAAUAAUAAGAUCUGUGUAAACAGCAACUCUCUACGUUCAAUAUUAAUCGAGAUAUUACGCUUUGGAAAUUAGUUUUAUGACGUCAUCUACCAAGGUAAUGACACCGUUGAUUAUUUUCCAUCCGUGUUUCUAGUUGAGUAACCAGUGCAAAUGUGUGCCUCACUGAUCGAUGACAGAAAGGUGGAAGAAAUCGAAGUAUUGAUCUUUCUCUCAAGGUCAGGCACGUAGCCAGGAUUUUCUUUUGGGG